CACACCUGAUCUGAGCUAGUCAACAUGGAAAAACACCUGUUUCUCAUUUUAAUUACGAUUUCAGGUGCGAUGACUGCGGACCAGAUUUGGCCAAACAAAGAUGCUGUUGUCAUAAAGGAAGAUGAGACUGUGGCCUUCAGCUGUUCAUAUACAAGUAGUGGUUAUGCAUAUUUGUAUUGGUAUAGACAGUAUCCUAACAAAGAGCUUCAAUAUUUAACAUAUUCUUCACAAUCAAGUAGUGGAAGGUUUCGUAUGACUGAAUCACAAUCAUCCACUGAACUCACUAUUACUGGUGUAACUCUGUCAGAUUCAGCUCUCUAUUAUUGUGCUCUAAGAGUUGGAGCCCAGUGA